rnacentral:sRNA from 1 species
CGUAGUAUUGACUACGACGAUGCAGUCUC